UUGGAGAAUUUGAUCCUGGCUCAGAACGAACGCUGGCGGCAGGCUUAACACAUGCAAGUCGAGCGCCCCGCAAGGGGAGCGGCAGACGGGUGAGUAACGCGUGGGAACGUACCAUUUGCUACGGAAUAACUCAGGGAAACUUGUGCUAAUACCGUAUGUGCCCUUCGGGGGAAAGAUUUAUCGGCAAAUGAUCGGCCCGCGUUGGAUUAGCUAGUUGGUGGGGUAAAGGCUCACCAAGGCGACGAUCCAUAGCUGGUCUGAGAGGAUGAUCAGCCACACUGGGACUGAGACACGGCCCAGACUCCUACGGGAGGCAGCAGUGGGGAAUAUUGGACAAUGGGCGCAAGCCUGAUCCAGCCAUGCCGCGUGAGUGAUGAAGGCCCUAGGGUUGUAAAGCUCUUUCACCGGKAAGAUAAURACGGUAACSGAGAAGAAGCUCGGCUAUCCU
rnacentral:rRNA from 1 species